rnacentral:lncRNA from 1 species
AAUUAGCUCUUAAUUAUCGUAAAGGUUUAACGAACCUAAUUGUAGUUCACGGCACGCCCCUUUUAAUUGUACAAAAACAUCGAAUAAUAAGCAAAUAUUUGAUCUCUAGCGAAGCUUAACGGCGAUUGCGGUAAGCGCAAGAGAACAUCAAGUACGCAGAAGCUCAGGAACGCACACAUAGAGUGCGAACAGAGUCAGCAGAAAUUAACGGGACCAGGACAGACGACGUAGCAGUGAAAACUUCUCCCUCAUCGUAAAUUGGGUGA